rnacentral:tRNA from 1 species
GAGAGGGUGGCUGAGAGGAUUAAAGCGACAAUUUGCUAAGUUGUUAUAUUAUAUUAUAAAAAUAAUAUCAUGGGUUCGAAUCCCAUUCUUCUUA